rnacentral:lncRNA from 1 species
AGAAGAAUCCGGAAGAAAGGUCGGCAGCUCCAUGAACUGCCAGUCCCACUCCUGUGGUUCAUACCCACAGCUGUAACCUAUCUAGUUUUAUUUUUCUCAGAUCUCACGAGAUACCAAGCCAAUUCUGAGAAGUACUCCAGUGUGUGUAAAAGAUAAUGCUGAAUGGAGUCUUUUCGAUGAGCGAGUCCGUAUCUGCCAGUUCCUGGGCCACAGGUUUGAUGUGCUUUUUCUCAAGCAGACUAGUUCCAGGGUUUCACACCUACACAGUUCAGAAUGUCUACAUGAGGAUAAUGAUAAAUGCUGGAAACGCUGGCAAUGACUUUGAGACAUUGUAAAGAUGUCUUGAAAAGGAAACAGCUGAAUAAUUCAUUUUCUAAUAAUGAACUGUGGAGCAACUUGAAAUCUAAGACCAAGGAGAGAAAUCACAGUUCCCAAAGGAAAGGAAAAGGCUUGCAGGCUAUACCAGGUGUCAUGAUGGUCUGGCCUCUGCUUCUGUGAGGUCCAUACCCAGUGACUCAGGCAAUAGAAGAAAUUGGGAGAAAAAAACAAAUAAACGUGUGUUGUA